rfam:Onchocerca ochengi, WGS project CAWC01000000 data, contig: 00372_679
GGUCCAAUGGUGUAGUGGUCAUCACGUCUGCUUUACACGCAGAAGGCCGACGGUUCGAAUCCGUCUUGGAUCA